rnacentral:other from 1 species
CAUCACCUGCGGUGUACGACAGGUUUGUCAUAAACCCUUGAGCCUAUUUUCCUACACAGGGAUUUGUUUGGGAUGUGCGGUGUGCAUGACCGUCUUUCGCGCGGUAAGCCUAUGUCUCCCACCAUCAGGUCCCGCCUUGAACUUACCCGGUUCAAGGAUAUUGGCAACCACCGGCACAGGUGGGUGAUGC